rnacentral:piRNA from 1 species
UGCCUUUGGAGAUUUCUCUACUAUCAAGAGU